CCGAUAUGAACGUCAUAAUCAUAACUGAACACGUUAUGAGACCAUCAGUAGCAUUAUUGAUGACAUUGCAAAUAAUUACAUUAUUUCCAAUCAGCAAAAAUAAUAUAAUUUCUCAGAAGAAAGAACCAUCAGCCUGGUAACGAUCCUCCCAGAGUCCGUCAGUGGUCGUCCAGGUCCCGGGCGUUGAGGGUGUGUUUCGGCGCUCCUCAAAAAAGGUCGGCUACACCCCAAACUCCUCGCAUUACAAGUGUUGCUGACCCUCUACCAGAGCCAGUGGUGAAUUCGGCUGCAAUGGACCCUUGAUCUGACCCUCUAGAGGGCCUAGACUAUGAAGACUUCUGCUGCAGUACCUACUGCUGCUACUUAACCUUAAAGAACUCGACCUCCACGAUCUACCACCUCUGCUCUUCACUCGUCUGAUGAAUCGGAUGAGGACGUGUCUGUUCGAACACCAUCUCCUUCACGGAAAUGCCACUUCUCAGCUGUCGAUUUCCUUCACGACACUGCACCAACAACCCCCAACGACAGCCCCACAAGGCCAAUAGGAAGUCAGACCACCAAGACCGACAAGCCCAAGAAGACCAAAGAUCAGAGUUUGCUCAAAUCGUCAAAAACGAAGACCACCACUAAGGAAAUGAUUUAACAUAAACAUCUGAAAUCAACCCUCGACUGUCAGCUGCUUGCGAUCCCAGCCCAUGUGUGUGUGUACUGCAAAUGAGGCCCCACUCAAUCCUACUUCACUACUAAGUUCAAAUCCGCGGUGGUUGGGCCACCGAUCUUUCAUCUCCCCUCUUCACCUCGUCUCCAGUUCCUCGCUCAAGAUUUCUGCAUCCUCGCCCCGUUCUUCCAUCCCCUGCUUGCCAACUCUAUGGACAUUUUAAAGUUUUCAAGCUCGUCAGUGUUUUACCUCACUUAGUAUCGCGUUCCAGCACAGCACGAGGAUAUGGUCGUUAAGCACUGUGACGUCACCAAUGACGCUGUGUUGGGCAAGAAGGUCAGGAGCGGCCGGCGCCGCCUCAGUGUCGGGCUGACAGACAGCAGACGUAGUUCCUUAGGCGGUGUCCCGCUUCUUAUAUCAUUUGCAGCUACACCGGUCAUCAGGGUCUGGCUCGACAAUGGCCACGAGUCUUCUUGAGAAACUUAAAGUGAACGGAGGACUAGUCAGUCACACAAGGCACGGAACUAGUUCUGACGUGACGUCGCUGCAAGUCUCGAUAGAGGUGGUUGGACGGUGUUCAACACGGGGCGACUGACAACGUUGCAGGAAUAUCUGAAAGAAAA